rnacentral:rRNA from 1 species
CGGACGUAAAGAACUUGCCUCACAGCUAGGGACAAUAUUUAAAAAUGAAUGCUAAUACCUGAUAUUAUGAUUUUAAGGCAUCUUAGAAUUAUGAAAGCUAUAAGCACUGUGAGAGAGCUUUGCGUCCCAUUAGCUAGUUGGAGAGGUAACAGCUCACCAAGGCGAUGAUGGGUAGCCGGCCUGAGAGGGUGAACGGCCACAAGGGAACUGAGACACGGCCCUU